AACGAACGCUGGCGGCAGGCCUAACACAUGCAAGUCGAACGCCCUAGCAAUAGGGAGUGGCAGACGGGUGAGUAACGCGUGGGAACGUGCCCUUCAGUUCGGGAUAAGCCGAGGAAACUUGGUCUAAUACCGGAUACGUGCGAGAGCAGAAAGAUUUAUCGCUGAAGGAUCGGCCCGCGUCCGAUUAGCUAGUUGGUGAGGUAAAGGCUCACCAAGGCGACGAUCGGUAGCUGGUCUGAGAGGAUGAUCAGCCACACUGGGACUGAGACACGGCCCAGACUCCUACGGGAGGCAGCAGUGGGGAAUAUUGGACAAUGGGCGAAAGCCUGAUCCAGCCAUGCCGCGUGAGUGAUGAAGGCCCUAGGGUUGUAAAGCUCUUUCGCCAGGGACGAUAAUGACGGUACCUGGAUAAGAAGCCCCGGCUAACUUCGUGCCAGCAGCCGCCGUAACAC
rnacentral:rRNA from 1 species